AGAGUUUGAUCCUGGCUCAGGAUGAACGCUGGCGGCGUGCCUAAUACAUGCAAGUCGAGCGGCAGCAUUACCUUCGGGUAGAUGGCGAGCGGCGGACGGGUGAGUAACACGUAAGAACAUACCCCGAAGUGAGGGAUAAGCACCAGAAAUGGUGUCUAAUACCGCAUAGUAUCUUCGGAUUAAAGCAGUAAUGCGCUUUGGGAAUGGCUUGCGUUGGAUUAGCUAGUUGGUAAGGUAAUGGCUUACCAAGGCGACGAUCCAUAGCUGGUUUGAGAGGAUGAUCAGCCACACUGGAACUGAGACACGGUCCAGACUCCUACGGGAGGCAGCAGUAGGGAAUUUUCCACAAUGGGGGCAACCCUGAUGGAGCAACGCCGCGUGCAGGAUGAAGGCUUUCGGGUCGUAAACUGCUUUUAUGAGAGAAGAAUAUGACGGUAACUCAUGAAUAAGGGUCGGCUAACUACGUGCCAGCAGCCGCGGUCAUACGUAGGACCCAAGCGUUAUCCGGAAUUACUGGGCGUAAAGAGUUGCGUAGGUGGUUUGUUAAGCGGUGUGUGAAAUCUUGAGGCUCAACCUUGAGACUAUGCACUGAACUGGCAGACUUGAGUAUAGAAGAGGUAUCUGGAAUUCCCAGUGUAGGAGUGAAAUCCGUAGAUAUUGGGAGGAACACCGAUGGCGUAGGCAGGAUACUGGUCUAUUACUGACACUAAGGCACGAAAGCGUGGGGAGCAAACGGGAUUAGAUACCCCGGUAGUCCACGCCGUAAACAAUGGAUGCUAGCUGUGAGAGGUAUCGACCCC
rnacentral:rRNA from 1 species